GACGAACGCUGGCGGCGUGCUUAACACAUGCAAGUCGAACGAAGUGGCGAACGGGUGAGUAACGCGUAAUCAACCUGCCCUUCAGAGGGGGACAACAGUUGGAAACGACUGCUAAUAUCGCAUACUGAAGGAGGGGAUUGCGUCUGAUUAGCUAGUUGGAGGGGUAACGGCCAACCAAGGCGAAUAUCAGUAGCCGGUCUGAGAGGGUGAGCGGCCACCUUGGCACUGGGACGCGGCCCAGACUCCUACGGGAGGGAGCAGUGGGGGAUCUUCCGAAAUGGACGAAAGUCUGACGGAGAAACGCCGCGUGAGUGAUGACGGCCUUCGGGUUGUAAAGCUCUGUUAAUCGGGACGCGGUACCGGAAUAGAAAGCCACGGCUAACUACGUGCCAGCAGCCGCGGUAAUAC
rnacentral:rRNA from 1 species